GAUGAACGCUAGCGGCAGGCUUAACACAUGCAAGUCGAGGGGCAGCACGGGUAGCAAUACCUGGUGGCGACCGGCGCAAGGGUGCGUAACGCGUGAGCAACAUGCCCUAUACAGGGGGAUAAUCCAGGGAAACUUGGUCUAAUAUCCCAUAGUAUUUAGAGGAGGCAUCUUCUAUAAAUUAAAGCUUCGGUGGUAUAGGAUUGGCUCGCGUGACAUUAGCUAGAUGGUGAGGUAACGGCUCACCAUGGCAAUGAUGUCUAGGGGUUCUGAGAGGAAGGCCCCCCACACUGGGACUGAGACACGGACCAGACUCCUACGGGAGGCAGCAGUGAGGAAUAUUGGUCAAUGGACGAGAGUCUGAACCAGCCAAGUCGCGUGAAGGAAGACGGUUCUAUGAAUUGUAAACUUCUUUUGUGCAGGAAUAAAGUGGGUUACGUGUAACCUUUUGUAUGUACUGUACGAAUAAGGAUCGGCUAACUCCGUGCCAGC
rnacentral:rRNA from 1 species